rnacentral:rRNA from 1 species
UAGGGAAUCUUCGGCAAUGGGGGGAACCCUGACCGAGCAACGCCGCGUGAGUGAAGAAGGUUUUCGGAUCGUAAAGCUCUGUUGUUAAGGAAGAACGAGUGUGAGAAUGGAAAGUUCAUACUGUGACGGUACUUAACCAGAAAGGGACGGCUAACUACGUGCCAGCAGCCGCGGUAAUACGUAGGUCCCGAGCGUUGUCCGGCUUUAUUGGGCGUAAAGCGAGCGCAGGCGGUUAGAUAAGUCUGAAGUUAAAGGCAGUGGCUCAACCAUUGUAGGCUUUGGAAACUGUUUAACUUGAGUGCAGAAGGGGGGAGUGGAAUUCCAGGUGUAGCGGUGAAAUGCGUAGAUAUAUGGAGGAACUCCGGUGGCGAAAGCGGCUCUCUGGUCUGUAACUGACGCUGAGGCUCGAAAGCGUGGGAGCGAACAGG